rnacentral:pre_miRNA from 1 species
UUUGAGGGGAAUGUUGUCUGGCUCGAGGACCGUGGCUAGCUAGAUCGAUCGGCGACCUCCAAUCAGAUCCAUCUCAUAUAUGAUCAAUCUCUUGAUGAUCCUGAUAUCCACUCAAGAGGUGCACUAGAUCAUAGCAAGCUGUCGUCGGACCAGGCUUCAUUCCCCCCAAU